AGGCCUACUGACGCUCCGAUUAGAAGAUGCGACUAUGGGACAGAGGUUCAGGGCCGAAGGGGUAGAGGAAGACCUAGGAAAACUUUGGAAGAGACUCUAAGAAAAGACUUAGAGUACUUGGAUCUAACGAAGGACAUGACACAGGAUCGAGCACAAUGGCGUUCUAAGAUUCAUAUAGCCGAUCCCACUCAGUGACUUGGAUUUUCCAAGUCUCCAACCGAGAAGUUUUCCUCACUCGGGAAAAUUAAGGGAACACUACCCCAACCUACAUGCUCCACUCAGAAAGCUUCAACAUACAAGCUUCAACAAAAGAAAAUUCAAAGAACUUAGCGAAGAAGGCUUUGGUGUAUUUAACACAAUACGUUGAAAUGAAGGAAAGCUUAUUUAUUGAUAUCCCCGAUAAGCUACAAAUAUGUACAUAUACAUGAGUCAAAAUAAACACACAAGAGGGAGCCUUCACAAAGGUUGCUUAGGAGAAGUCUCAGCAGUCGGUAGAGCCCCAGAAAGAGAAGGCACCGGAGGGGGAUCAUUUGGAGCCUCAGUACUGGACAGAACCCUAGAAGGAGGAGGCAUCAGAGGUUGAUCAUUUGGAGCUUCAUUACGCGGUACAGCCCCAGAAGACGAAGGCAAUAAAUGCCUUUGGAACAAACCCACAAAUCUCUGAUGAUCAAGUAAAACCUGACCAUCAGUUUCCUUCAUCUGGUCAAGCUUCCUCUUCAUGUUUGUAGCAUAGUCAUGUGCGAGCCGGUGCAACUGUUUAUUCUCAUGCUUGAGCCCUCUAAUCUCCUGUUUGAGACUCAUCACUUCAGCCGCCAAUGAUUCAACUUGGCGGGUUCGAGCAAAUAGGCGUUGGGCCAUAUUAGACACAGAACCUGCACACUGAACACUGAGAGCCAGCGAAUCCUUAACAGCUAACUCAUCAGACCGUUUGGAAAGUAGUCUGUUAUCUUUGGGAGUGAGAAGGUUCCUGGCCACCACCGCAGCGGUCAUAUCAUUCUUCAUCACGGAAUCCCCAACGGUAAGAGGACCAGUAGGGGAGACGAAGGAUGGGCGCCAUAUGUUGUCUGGAGAAGGCGGGGCUGCCUCUUCAACAAGGUUCAAGUCAAAACGACGGUCGGAGGGGCCAGACAUUUUCAAAGGUGUUGAAGAGAGAAGAGGUCGGACAAAUCAAGAUCUUAGAAGUGCAAGAAUGAAGCUUCUACUGGUGGAGAUUCAAGUGUGCUUUGGAACUUAAUGCCAGCCCCUAUAAAAAUCUGCACUCGACGGAGCUUCAGAAAUCGAAGAGGCGCCUGCUCAGAAAUCGAAGAGGCGUUUGCUUUCUCAAAAGCUGGGCUGCUUAGAGAUCACGAGGGUUGAUCUCAGAAAUCGAAGAGGCGUUUGCUUUCUCAAAAGUUGGGCUGCUCAAAGACCACGAAGGCCGAUCUCAGAAAUCGAAGAGAGGCGCUCGCUUUCUCAAAAGCUGGGCUCCCCAGAGACCACGAGGGCCGAUCUCAGAAAUCGAAGAGGCACCUACUUUUCCAGCCUUGUCAGCACCUGUCACACGCACACUCAGCUUUGCGGAAAUUAUGGGCAUUCUGUCGAAGACUUCUGGGGAAGUAGAAAACACAUGAAUCUUACUGUUCAAUCACCCACUUCCCACACGCAACAAUAGCUCAUGGGUACCACAGAUAACUUUGCCAAAGUUCUCUGCCAAAGUUGAGCACGUGAAGCUUGCAGCUCCCACUACAUCGCUCUGACCAAGAAGGGUAAAAGAAUAGCAAAAAGAAACAGCACUAACAAAGUUUAGACCCAUAAAUUUUGAAGGUCUAGCUACCAUAUUAUUACCCACAAGGGUAAAGGAACAGUACCACUGCUGGAUAAUUGGAAAGUCCCUGUGUGUCAACCUCUGUGCUUCGUGGCAAGGUAGACUAGCAAACAUGCCCAACCUUUACUCACAUUCGAGAAAACACUCCCAAUAAGAUUGCUUGCUCCAAAAUCGAAGAGGCACCGUCCUCCGAAUCUCGAGAGCCAGACUCCCAACAUGACUACUUUCUUAAAAAUCGAAGAGAGGGUAAAGGAACAGUACCAUUGCUGGAUAAUUGGAAAGUCCCUGUGUGUCAACCUCUGUGCUUCGUGGCAAGGUAGACUAGCAAACAUGCCCAACCUUUACUCACAUUCGAGAAAACACUCCCAACAAGAUUGCUUGCUCCAAAAUCGAAGAGGCACCGCCCUCCGAAUCUCGAGAGCCAGACUCCCAACAUGAUUACUUUCUCAAAAAUCGAAGAGACACUGCUCCCCGAAUCUUCGAGAGCCAGACCCCCAGCAUGAUUGCUUUCUCAAAAAUCGAUGAGGCAUCGUUCUCCGAAUCAAUCGAAGAGGCGCUCGCUUUCUCAAAAGCUGGGCUGCUCAGAGACCACGAGGGCCGAUCUCAGAAAUCGAAGAGGCACCUACUUUUCUAGCCUUGUCAGCACCUGUCACACGCACACUCAGCUUUGCAGAAAUUAUGGGCAUUCUGUCGAAGACUUCUGGUGAAGUAGAAAGCACAUGAAUCUUACUGUUCAAUCACCCACUUCCCACACGCAACAAUAGCUCAUGGGUACCACAGAUAACUUUGCCAAAGUUCUCUGCCAAAGUUGAGCACGUGAAGCUUGCAGCUCCCACUACAUCGCUCUGACCAAGAAAGGUAAAAGAAUAGCAAAGAAACAGCACUAACAAAGUUUAGACACAUAAAUUUUGAAGGUCUAGCUACCAUAUUAUUACCCACAAGGGUAAAGGAACAGUACCACUGCUGGAUAAUUGGAAAGUCCCUGUGUGUCAACCUCUGUGCUUCGUGGCAAGGUAGACUAGCAAACAUGCCCAACCUUUACUCACAUUCGAGAAAACACUCCCAACAAGAUUGCUUGCUCCAAAAUCGAAGAGGCACCGUCCUCCGAAUCUCGAGAGCCAGACUCCCAACAUGACUACUUUCUCAAAAUCGAAGAGAGGGUAAAGGAACAGUACCAUUGCUGGAUAAUUGGAAAGUCCCUGUGUGUCAACCUUUGUGCUUCGUGGCAAGGUAGACUAGCAAACAUGCCCAACCUUUACUCACAUUCGAGACAACACUCCCAACAAGAUUGCUUGCUCCAAAAUCGAAGAGGCACCGCCCUCCGAAUCUCGAGAGCCAGACUCCCAACAUGAUUACUUCCUCAAAAAUCGAAGAGACACUGCUCUCCGAAUCUCGAGAGCCAGACCCCCAGCAUGAUUGCUUUCUCAAAAAUCGAAGAGGCAUCGUUCUCCGAAUCUCGAGAGCCAGAUACCACAGACCACUUUUUCAAAGUGCUCUGACAGAGUUAAAACAUGUGAAACUGGCAGCUCCCACUACCGUGCUAUGACCAAGCAGGGUAAAGGAAUAGCAUUACUACUUGUUGUUAGGGAGACUCCUAUAUAUGUCGACCUCCAUCCCCAACGGACAGGCAGACCUGCAAAAAUGCUCAACCCUUCAUCAUAUCUGAGAGGGCACUCCCAACGAAGCCUUUCGAAAUAUUCAGCUUUCUUUCCCCCCGAUAAUACCUCUGCAAACAAGCUAUACUAGAGCAAGAAUAUCUCAUAUCAUCAGGGUUAAAAGCAAGAGUAUCCCAUAUCAUGCUUUUUUCCCUGUCUUUUCCUUUGGCCUUGUUUUUACCUGCAAGACAAGGAGAAAGAGAGCAAUCAGUCAGCACUUGGAAUCAAGCUUCCAGCCAGGAACUGACUGCCUGGAACCCCUUACCUGAUUACUUACCUGGCAUUGCUCUCGAGUACUCAUCUUCAACAUCUUAUGUUUCCAGGGAAGAUUCCGCAUCUGCUUGAGGAACAGAUAGGGCAAGUGCGAAGGAUACAAGGAAGCAUGUGGAGACAAGCGUAACAGCACACGUGCCGAUACAUCCAUUACUCUGUCAAAAGCAAAAGUAUCCCAUAUCAGCAGGGUGGAACGUACUCUAGAUUUGAUGGACUUGUUUUGACCCUCAAAUUCUUCAGUCGGCCUUAUACUCUGGAGGAAACCAGAAAACCCUCCAGCUCAGUUCAAGAAUAAGCCUGUGGAAAGUUACUUCUUCAAAAGCAAAAGUAUCUCAUAUCAUCUCUUCUCAUUUUUCUUCUCUUUAUCCUUCAUGCUGCUGCAAGAUGGGGAGAGAAGGUGAACAAUCAGUCGGAGCUCUGAUUGCUUACCUUGUCUGUCACCUCUUUCAGCAGACCCCCUAGCUCGGCGACUUGGGGGACUCCUACUACAUGGUUUGUAUCGCGCUUGACCAAGCCUGAAACUACAAGUAAGCUUCAAGUGAAAUUGAUACAUUACCUUGUGCAUCUCCACCAGUUAAAGAUACCACCCCUGGAUGGAGGAAGAGUACUUCCAGAGAAGAUGCCACAUCUACCUAUGAGACAGAUAAGGCAAGUCAAGACGACACCACACUCCGAUACUUAGAAGUUUCGUGAUUACGAGAUCAUUCUCCCACAAUAUUUCCUAAUGUCAUUUGUACUAAAUCAUUCACUUGUACUCACUAAAGGAGAGCUUGAACCUAUGUACUUGUGUAAACCCUUCACAAUUAAUGAGAACUCUUCUAUUCCGUGGACGUAGCCAAUCUGGGUGAACCACGUACAUCUUGUGUUUGCUUUCCUAUCUCUAUCCAUUUAUAUACUUAUCCACACUAAUGACCGGAGCAAUCUAGCGAAGAUCACAAAAAGCGACCGUUUUCGCUACCUAGGAUCUAUCUUGCAAGAGAACGGAGAAUUAGAUGGAGAUCUCAACCAUAGAAUACGAGCUGGAUGGAUGAAGUGUAAGAGUGCAUCCGGCGUGUUGUGUGACCGUCGUAGGCCACUGAAGCUCAAGGGAAAAUUUUAUAGGACGGCAAUAAGGCCAGCGAUGUUGUAUGGCACAGAAUGUUGGGCGGUGAAGCAUCAACACGUACACAAAAUGGGUGUAGCGGAGAUGAGGAUGCUUCGUGGGAUGUGUGGGCACACGAGAAAGGAUAAGAUUGGGAAUGAGGAUAUCCGAGGUAAAGUAGGAGUAGCCGAAAUUGUAGGAAAGAUGAGAGAAAAUCGGCUCCGGUGAUUUGGACAUGUGCAAAGAAGGCCGACUGACGCUCCGGUUCGAAGAUGUGACUACGGGACAGAGGUUCAGGGCCGAAGGGGUAGAGGAAGACCUAGGAAAACCUUGGAAGAGACUCUAAGAAAAGACUUAGAGUACUUGGAUCUAACGGAGGACAUGACACAAAACCGAGCGCAAUGGCGUUCUAGGAUUCAUAUAGCCGACCCCACUUAGUGGGAAAAGGCUUUGUUGUUGUG
rnacentral:lncRNA from 1 species